CCCUAUUUGCCGCUCUAGCAGAGCAAGGGAGAGGGAUUCGUCUGCAACUCGGAACAGCGAAGGGGUUCGGCUUUUAGAUCCAAGCACCCCGCCGACUUUAAAGAUGUGGGGAUGUAGAUCGAGAGAGCAGUCAGGCGGCGACGGCGACUCGCGAGUACAGGCACGACGGCGGCUGGGCAUCGUCGGGUUCGGGAGUUGGAGGGGAUGAGGGGGAGGCGGCGGCGGCGCGGCGGGCGUCUGGGGUCUCGGCAUCCGACCUCAGGUUCAAGCUGCCGACGGAGACUGCUGCGCCGCGAGCACGCUGAGAGCCUGAGGUAGCUGGACGACUGCCACGGCGAUGCACAAGGAGGCGAGCCUGAGGCGGUGGGCGGCGGCGGAUCCAGUCAUGCUCCUCCUCGAUUUCCCCGUCGUCGUGCUACCAAGGGCGUCUUCGCCCACAUCUCCUCAUGCUGGUGCGCAUGGCGCCUCCUGCCGCUGGUUCCGCCUGCCGGUCGCGACGCGGUAAACGAACAGAGCAUGUGCUUGCGGCGGAGGAUGCUCUCUCGCCCCCGCGGAACGCCCGCCUCGCCCGCCACCACGGACAAGGGAAGCAUAUACGGAAAUUGUGAUUUGAAAGUACUAUCAAUCUACAUAAAUCAUGGCAAAGUUUCCUACAUUUUUGGGUGCGGGUUCAUUGAGGAGAUUCAAGAUACAAUCUGCUGAUGCUAAUUUGCUGUAGUGCUGGUUUAAAGAUGAUGAUGACAGAUUACCACCAUCAAGCAUUUGCUAAUGACGAGGUAGAAAUUUUCUAUAGUUGCUAGCCAAUGGAAAAAGCAAAUCAGCAAGAGUUCUACUUCUCAUUAGAUGAAUGCCAGAAAUGGAUUAUUUCUUUAGAUUAUGUAGAAUGUGAAGUUCAAAGAAUGGCUGAAGAUCAUUAUGGACAGGCUCAGCUUGCACCAUGUUAGUUGAUUCGUCUAUUUAGCUGGUGAUGUGAGAAGAAGGCAACAAAAUGGAGCUAUCCUUUCCAUUAGCAUAUUCCAGAAGGAUCUGUUUUGCACAUAAAAGUGAUGGCUUGGGCCUUCGGCACCAUGGCGGCAUCAGUUUGCACGUUGUCGCUCCACUUGUAUUGCUGGUUGCAAAGUAAGGUGCGAACAGUCCAUCGCCGUAUGUUAGGAGGUGAAACUUAAGCACUAUAUAGUGAAAAUUUCUCUAGCGUCGUGGGAGCUGCUGCUGUUGCAUUUAAAUUGGUUUGUACAAAUUGACAGUCCGAGGCUCCAGCGGAUGCAGUCGCAACCCCACCUCUAGAUCAGCUCACCACCCAACCAGUUACACUCAGUUAUGUGACAGUUUUGAUUCAUUCUACAGAAUUAUUGGAACUCUGGAAUGACCAAAUCUCAAUUCUGCUUCAAAGGUAAUGAUUCUGUUUUAUCAACCACCCUAAAUUUGUCCACAACUGAUGUUUAUGACAUGGUUAUCUAUUUCACACAUUCUUAUUCUAUGUAUAUUGUGAUUAUAUUUUCAUUUCCUUAGUUGUGUUGCUGUUCAGUUGACUGUUAAGUUUACGGUUAUUUCCCCCGCAAAAAAGGGUUAUGGUCUUUUAUUCCAAAAGAGAAAAGCAUGUUUCUUUGUAGGAGACUAGCUGCUAUAUAGAUGUGCAUAUUUUGUAAUGUUUCUUUUACAAACAUAUGAUGUAAUAGAGUGUAGACAUGGGCCUAGACAUCUAGCCAAACCUACCUAUAGCAUUUCUAAAACGAUAUAAUUAUAACGGUUACAUGUAAAUUACGUGUGUAGAUUUAUCCUUUUUUCAUACGCCUUAGUAGAUUCUAAACAUAUGGUGUGAUGUACGUAUAAAAGUUUAUGGUCAAUGCUAGUUUAGUGUUUGGGUCAAAUUAUUAUUUGAAAGUAGGGGUUAAAGUUUGCCAAGAAAAAACAGAUUAUUAUUUGAGAUUGAUAGAGUACGACUAUAUCCCACCAGGUCUUGUUUCCAUUAAAAGUGUGUCCCCACUUUGUUGAAGAAUACACCUACCAUUUUGGUAGUGGGCCUAACUCAUCUCAGCGGUUUUGUUUGGGCCUCAUUGCCCUAAUACGCUAGUAAUCGUCUCAUUUCCCAUAUUUCCCUUAGUCUCACUCCCAAUCACUUCACGAUCCAAGGAAGGGAAUGCCAGCAGCCAUGGCGACAGUGUCCCCUUCGGCCAUUCAUGCCACUUGAGAGGAUGAAGGAUCUGGUGACGUCACGCUAGAGACAUCGGCGCAAGCGAGGUUGCCACCAUCCUUGUCGCGACGACAAUGCCACAGCGGAGGGUAGAACGGGAUGGUGGGUGACGGCAUUGCGGAAGGAGGUGCCGACCACUCAUUUGACCCAGGGAAGCAAAAAUAAUGUGCAAUGUUUUAGUCCCGUACUCCUACUAAAUAAGGAUCUUGGCCGAGAGAAUCUAGAGUAUGGUGUGUGGUCUAGAAAAGGAGCAAGAGUGCACUCGAGCAUGUUUAGGGGGAGGUAUGUACGGGGCGGAGGCCACAGGGGGAGCUAUGCCCGGCUGGAUGACCAUAAAGGGCGAGGGAGAAUUACUUCUUUUAAGUAUAAAAGUAUACUCCCUUUGUUCACUAUUAUGAGAUGUUUUGGAUAUUUUAAUAUGAACUACGCAUAGAAAUGAGUGAACAAAACACACUAAAACGUAUCUGAUUCAGAAAAAGUUAGAACAUCUUAUAAUCGUUAAUGGAGGGAGUACUAGAGAAUAAAAUCCGUUCCUAGCUAAUGGUGGAUCAACAACACUGAGUCUGAAGAGAUAGAGGAAUUAUUUGAUCCUGCACACUGGAGCAUACGAAGGAAGCAUCGAGACCAAUAUGCAUGGUGAGCUAUAUUGCACAGGGUCAUGCACAAUACUGAUAGCACAUGUACUCUCUAACAACAGAGGAGUAGGUGAGUGACAACACCUGUACUCUACAACAGAGGAGUAGGUGUAGUGAUAGAAACAAAAAAAAUCCUUAAGCUACCAUCAUAUGCCUUUGUUGUCAAAAGAGCCAUAGUUUGCAACUCAGCCUUUGCACUAGAAGGGAAAAGCGCAAUCGGUUUCUUUGUCUUGUAGGCAAUGACAAAACCAUCAAGAAAAAGGGACGUGCGAACUUGAGCAUGGGAAGAAGAGAGACGGUGAGAGAUAUUUCCACGAAGAUAUUGUAGAAGGGGGGGUGACUCAAGUGGAUAAAAGUGAGAGCAGAGACAAAGUGACUUAGAAUGAGAACGUGAUAUGAAAUUUCUGGACGAGUGACAUCUAAAUAGACAAGACUCCCAACAAGAUGAUGAUAGCGUGUCAGAUCAAACAAAGGUGGAUGUUGAGCUCGAUGGGAGUGUCAUGCCACUUGAGAGGAUGAAGGCUCUAGCAACAUCGUGCGAGAGGCAUUAGUGCUAGCGAGUUUACCACCAUCCUAGCCACGACGACAACACCGCAGAGCAUAUAGUGGAGGGUAGAGUAGGAAAGUGGAGUGCCGCCGCCGCAGGAGGAGGUGCACUCGAACGGGGGGCAUUGCACUGUAGUCUGUUUCUUCUUUCGGGCGAGUGCCAGACAGAUAGACUCACAACAAAAUGUCAAUAAAGCGCCAGAUCAGAUAGUAGGUCAACAUCAUUAGCAGGGAGGUAAACAUUGAGCUCCAUGGGAGUCUCAACAUGCGCUCAUCAGUAAGAGUAGCGCGAGUAAGAUCCUAAAUUAUUAUUUUUCAGCAUGAAGGGACCUCAAUCCCAAGAAAGUAGCAGAGAGGGCUAAGAUAAAACAUAAGAAACUGCAUACUAAGACAUGCCUUAACAAAGGCAAUAUACUCACGGUCUGCGUCAGUGAUGAUCUUGUCAUAGCAUAUAGAAGAAGAGUCCUACCAAAAACAGAAAGGAGGACAAACAAUGUCGGAUCAUGAGCACUCGAUGAAAUCCAGCAGUAGCCACCAUAGAGGCAAAACGCUCAAACCAGGUGUGAGGGGCUUGCUUAGAGCCAUAGUGAGAGUGAUGAAGACGAGAAAGCAUGUCGUAAGGAGCAGCUCACCAUUAAGAAAUGCAUUCUUAACAUCAAGCCUAGACACAGAUCAGUGGUGAACAGAGGCCAAAAAGAACUGUGCGAACAGUGGUGAGCAAGUCUCAUCGUAAUCAGGACCAUGCUCCUGCUGAAAGCCAUUACCCACAACACGAGCUUUGUAAUGCCCAAGAGAACCAUAAGAGUGAGUCCUAACCUUGUAGACCCACCAAGUGAUGGGAUGAACACGAGGAGGAACAUAUACAAUAUCCCACGUGCCGAUGCGCUCAAGAGCAGCAGUCUCCUCUGCCAUCACAAGGUGCCAUUUGGUAUGAACAACACCACAAUAAGAAGUUGGCUAAAGAACAACAUCGCCAAUGCUUGGAAGACCUAGGCGGUCAACAUGCCAAAGCAGACGAGGACGCAAGCCAUAAGUAGGAUGAGACGGGGAAGAUGGCACAUCGGUAGACGCAUCCACAACACAUAGACGUCCUGUAUAGAAAUUAGGAAAAGAUGGAAGAAUACGAGUUGGAAUCAUCGGGAUAAACUCAGGUGAUGGAGAGAAGGAAACCAUCGGUGAUGAAGGUGUAGAAUCAUGUGAUAAGUGAGGUGAGGAAAUUAUAGGAGAUGAUGGCGUUGGUUCUACAAUAAUAAGAGAAGCAGGAGCAGUACGGCGACUUGAUAAGGGCUCAAUAGGAGUGGUAGGAGUGUCGGGAAAAUUGUGGAAGAUAUACUCCACUUAAAAGGCGGAAGAAGAUGGAAUCAACAAAAGUCAUAUCCCAAGAAAUAGGCAUCCGAUGAACAACAUGAUCCCAACAACGAUAUCCCUUAUGCUCAUUGUUGUAUCCUAAGAAGACACACUCAACAGACUGACAAGUCAGUUUGGUGCGUUCACGAGGGGCAAGAAGGACAUAGCAAACACAACCAAAUAAUUGAAGCGCCGAAUAAACAAGCAAAUAGUCGCUCGAAAGGAGCGUCACCCUGCAGAGUAGUGGAUUGCUAAAGGUUGAUGAUAUAGAUGGAAGUGGAGACAAACUCGACCCAAAAGUGCGACGGAAGAGAUGCGGUGACCAUAAUGAACGAGUCGUCUCAAGAAGGUGACGAUGCUUGCGCUCAGCCACGCCAUUUUGAGCAUGAGCAACAGGAUAAGAGAGCCAAAGUCUGCUAAAAAAGGAUUCCACCAAAGUCAUCAUAGAACACACAAAUAGGUGUAGAGAACUGAGUGUGAACCAUGGCAGCAAAAGGCUUAUAAGACCUCACUACAAGAAGAAAUAAAGUAUAUCUAUGUGUGUAGAGAGAAGUUACUACCGGAGGCAAAGGGAGAUGGACCCCUGAGAUCAUAUUGAACAAGGUCGGAAGGCCAACGAGACACUGUCUCGCUAUGAGUAUAAGGUAAUUGGACUGUGGAUUAGAGACAUCAUCAGAGAGGGAUCGAAGAAGACCACGUCGAACUAAGGAUGAGAGAUAACAAGUGAUCCAAGGGGAUGAUGCCAAUCCUGAAAAUAACUGGUAGACAAGGCAAUAGAGGCAAAGACUGGCGAUGGUGGCAAUAGAGGGACUUGAUCCAGCAUCCCACGUGCCUAUGCACUCUUCGUACCCCACCGAUCCGGCUUGGCGUUCUUUUCCUGUUUGCAGGUUGUGGGUCACGCACUUGAUUAAGCACCCCAGGUUCUCCUACUGCGCCUUUGGCCUCGACUUUAGGUAGCGCCUGUCCUCGGCUCGUCCCGUGCAUAAACCAGGUACGCGUCGACUGUCCGAGCUCCUGCUCACCAUUGGUGGUGCUCGAGCGUGCGGUUAUGGUGUCGCACAUAAAGGGAACACGGGAUGUGGGAUUGAGACAGUACUCAUAGCAGCCUGCAGCAAGGCAAAGAAUGCCCAUCCAGACUGGCAGGGAGCAAAGGUGGGCACAAAGGUGGGCACAAAGGUGGACGUUGACUCGGAGUCUCAACAGUGCACUCAUCAGUAAGAGCAACACGAGCAAGAAGAUUAUGGAUAUACUUCUCUUAAGAAAUAAAGAACAAUCUCAAGGAAGUAGUGAAGAUGACCAAGAUUCAGCAGUGACCUUAUCACUAAGAGCAGCACGAGCAAGAAGAUCCUAAAUGUACUUCUCUUGGGAAGUAAAGAAGCCAUCCGAGGUAGAAGAAACCUCAGUUCGAAGUAGUGAAAGGGACCAAGAUCAGACAUUAGAUCUAUUCACUAAGAUGAGCCUUCAAAAAGUGCGCCCUACUCAGCAAGGAAUCCACAUAAUAAAUGAUUGAUAAACUCGCAAGCAAAAUCUGCAUGGAAGACGCAUAUAGGAAUGGAAAAUUGGAUACGAAGCAUGGCGGCAAACUUCUUACUGGUAGAUAAGACCUCACUAGAAGAAAAGCAUAAAAUAUAUCCAUGUGUAUCGAGAGAAAUCAUCUAUAAAGAUAAUAUAACAGCGAUGUCCUCCUUUUGAGGCAAAGGGACCUGGACCCCCAAACAUCGAAGUGAACAAGAUCAAAAGGACGAUGAGACACAAUCUCGCUAUGAGGAUAAUGUAACUUAACCUGUUUGCUAAGCCGACAAACUGACAGCCUAAAGACACACCGCCAAAGACAGAUCCAAGAAGACCAUGUCGGACUAAGGAUGAGAGACUAGAGUCACACAAGUGACCAAGACGAUGAUUCCAAAAGAGUCGGUAAACAAAGUAACCGAGGCAGAGAGACUGGCGGCGGUGGCAGCAAAGGGAAGGUUAACCUAGAUAAGCACCUAGAGGACCUGGAAUUACAACGUCGAGGGCCAACACCAAGUAGAGCAUCCGUGUGAGGAUUCUAAUCAGAACAUGAACAUGAGAAUCUGGAGGUCGAAUGGCUGACAAACUGGAAGAAUCGUAAGUUAAUAAGAAAAUACAUGGAUAUGUACCUGGUUGUGUAAAAAGUGGUCACUCGGUACAAGAAAAAUUAGUAGCAAAACCUGUUGAUGUUGAACCAAAAGAAGCCGCUAGUAGAUACUAACCUUCGGUGUAAAAAGUCGCCUAACCUUCGGUGUAGUCAGGGUCUCAACUGAAGAGGUUGACAAAGAAGUACUGGGCAAUGAAACUAGAAGUAGGAAGUAGGUGUUUUGUUAAAAGAUCGAAAACCCAAAUGUAUUUCUCGUUCUUCUUGUUUGUCUUCAUUUGGUUUUUGAUCUCUUUCUUUUGUGUUCUUUAUGGUUCUUUUCCUUCUUAUUGUUUCUUUGGUUUAUUUGCUUGCUUUUACAAGAAACCACAAAACAUUUCUUUCUCCCUUUUUUCUUUUGAAGUUCUUUGAGAAAACAACAAAAAUAUUUCUUCAUUCUUUUUGCUUUUUCUUUGGAAGUUUAUCUGAUUGCCUCUUUGUUGAAACUUUGGAAAUCUUGUAUCUUUGCUUGUCUCUUUGCGUUAUUGUUCGCCUUCUUUGAGAAAACCAAAAAAAUCCAAAAAUACUUCAGUGGUGUUUCUCUCAGUUCUUUGCCUUUUAUAUUUCAAAAAAUCCAAAAAUAUUUCUCUUUCACUUUUCCUUGUUUUCCUUUGUUUGCUUUUGAUUGUUCUUAUUGGCUUUUCUCGUUGUUUCUUUUUGUUGUUCCUUUCAUCUUUGUGCUUAAGUUGCAAAACCCAAAAAUUCCAAAAACGAUUUCUUGUUUGCAUCUUGUUGAGUCUCGAGUGUUUAGAGUGUUCUUUUUUCAUCCUAUUUUUUCUUUUGUAUGUUUUUUUGUUGUUUUCUAGAAACCCCAAAAGAUUUCAUUGUGCUUUUGUUCUUUUGAUGUUUGUUGAGAAAACAACAAAGAUAUUUCCUCGUUCGUUUUGCUUUUUCUUUGGAAGUGUAUUUUAUUGCCUCUUUGUUGAAACUUUGAAAAUAUUUUAUCUUUGCUUGCCUAUACAUUCUUGUUCGCCAUCUUCAAGAAAAGCAAAAAUUCAAAAAAUAUUUUUGUCGUGUUUCUUUAAGUUCUUUGCCUUUUAUCUUUUUCGAAAAUCUAAAAACAUUUCUCUUUCGUUGUUAAUUUGUUUUCCUUGUUUUCUUUUGGUUGUUCUUUUUGGCUUUUCUUUGCUGUUUUCUUUUCAUCGUUUCUUUUCACUUCGUGUUUAAGUUGCAAAACCCAAAAAUUCCAAAAAGAUUUCUCUUUUGCUCUUAUUGAGUGUUAACUAUUUGAGGUGUUCUUUUGUUUUUUUCUUCCUUUUUUUCUUUUGGAUGUUUGUUGUUUGCUUUUAAUAGUAACCCCAAAAGAUUUCUUUGUCCUUUUGUUCUUUCGAAGUUCUUUGAGAAAACAAAAAAAUAUUUUCUUGCUCGUUUUGCUUUUUCUUUGAAAGUUUAUUUGAUUGCCUCUUUGUUGAAACUUUGAAAAAGUAUUUUAUCUUUGCUUCUCUUUAGCUCUUGUUUACCUUAUUUGAGAAAAAAACAAAAGUUCCAAAAAUAUUUCUGCUGUGUUUCUUUAAGUUAGUUUUGGCCUUUUAUGUUUCCAAAAUUCCAAAAAAUAUUCCUCUUUCGGUGUUCUUUUGUUUUCUUUUGGUUGUUCUUUUUGGCUUUUCUUUGCUGUUUUUUUGUCGUUUAUUUCAUCUCUGUGUUUAAGUUGCAAAACCCAAAAACUCCAAAAGAUUUCUCGUUUGUGUCUUAUUGAGUGUCAAUUGUUUGAAGUGUUCUUUUUGAUUUAUUUUUCUUCCUAUUUUUUUCUUUUAUUUGUUGUUGUUUGCUUUUAAAAUAAACCCUAAAACAUUUCUUUGUCCUUUUGUUCUUUUGAAGUUCUUUGAGAAAACAACAAAAAUAUUUCAUCGUUCGUUUUGCUUUUUCUUUGGAAGUUUAUUUCAUUGGCUAUUUGUUGAAACUUUGAAAAUAUUUUAUCUUUGCUUCGCUUCAUGUUUCUUGUUUGCCUUUGAGAAAAAACAGAACUCCAAAAAAUAUUUCUAUUGUGAGCGGAAUUUUGUUUGACCCUAGGUCUCUUAGGGUGUUUAUGUGGGCUCGCAGCUCGUCAUUGCUGAGCUCUCGUGUCGUUGCUUGAGUCGGAUCUUAAGGCCCACUGUAUCUUUAAGACUUGCUCCCCAGUUAGCCACCUCGUUCAAGAGCAGUAGCUCCUUUGCCAUCGCAUGUCGCCGUUCGGGAUGAGCAUGGCAUCACGAUAUGUCGUAUUGAGAAGAGCAGCGCUAGAAUACCCAUAGCGAUCAAUAUGCGGAAGCGGGCGAGCGCAGAAGCCAUAAGUAGGUUGAGCUAGAGGCGGUCCAUUGCCAACAGAAGGAGAUAUAAAUAGUCGAGGGAGAUGGCUCAUCGAAAGAUGACACAUUAGAAGAAUCCGCAAGAUGCGGACGACUAGUGCAGUAAAGAAGAGGAUUGGGGGGAAUCAUCGGGGAAGUCUUAGGGAAUGAACAAGGUGGGGAAGCCGCAGGUGACGAUGACGUGGGGUCUACGACAGUAGUACAAGAAGACACAUUGGAAUGGAAGAGGGCAAUACAUGAGUGAUAGGACGCAUCAACACCAUUAUAGUUGGUGAGUUCAUGCUUUUCAAGGCCGUGCGCAAUAUUGAUAGCAUUUGUACUGUCUGACAAGGGAGGAGUAGGUCUAGUGACAAAAGCAUCAAAAUCCUCAAUCAACCAUUGUAACCAAGUCACCUCUGUUGUCAACAGAGGUAUAACUUGCAACUCAGCCUUUGCACUCAAAUUGAAAAGCGCAGUUUGUUUCUUUGUCUUUUGGGCAAUGAGAAAACCAUCAAGGAAACACAGUCAGUACAAAGGGACGAGCGAACUUGUGCAUAGGAAUAAGAGAGAGACGGUGAGAGGUAGUUCUACAUAGAUAUUGUAGAACCGCAGGGAGGGGGGUGUGUGACUCAAAGUGGAUUAAAGUGGGAGCAGAGGCAAACUGACUUAGAAUGAGAACAUGAUAUGAAAUGUCUGGAUGAGUGACAUCUAAAUACAAGACUCCCAACAAGAUGACGGUAGCACGUCAGAUCAAACAAAGGCCCUUGUCAGAAGCACAAAGAUGGACGUUGAGCUCCAUGGCAGUGUCAAUAGUGACUACCACUAAGAGCAGCACGAGCAAGAAGAUACUGAAUGAAUUCUCUUAGGAAAUAAAGAAGCUACAAGAGGUAGAAUAAACCUCAAUUCAAAGGAAGUAACAAGGAGGACCAAUAUUAGACAUAAAAACUAUUCACUAAGACGAACCUUCAAAAAAGGCAAUGCACUUAAGAGUUGUUCGCAGUGAUGAUCAUGUCAUCAACAUGUAGAAGCAAAGUUUGACCCUGAGCUGAAAGAUGCUAUAAAGUGCAGAUCAUAAGCAUGUGGAAAAAACUAGUGGCAGUCAUCGCUGAGACAAACACUCAAACCGGCCAAGAGAGGCUAAAGGCAUAGAGAGAGCGACAAAGACGACAGAUCGUGCCAUCAGGAAAAAAUAUCUAGGUGGUGGCUACACGUAUACCUUCUCAUGCAACUGACCAUUAAGAAAGACAUUCUUGACAUCAAGCUGAGAGACAGACUAGUGGCGAACAAAUAUCAUAGGAGAAGUGCGCGAAGAGUGGUCAUGUGAGCCAUAUGAGCAAAUGUCUCAUCGUAGUCAUAGCCAUCUUCAUGUUGAAAGCCACGGGUCACAAGACGAGCUUUCUAACGCAAGAGAACCAUUAGAGUCUAAAUCUUGUAGAUCUACUUACAAUAUACAAGUGAUGGGAUGAGCAUGGGAGGAAGGAAAAUGAGAUCCCACGUGUCGCUAUGUUCAAUAGCAGCAAUCUCCUUUGCCAUAACAUGUCGAUGUUCGGGAUGAACAUGGCAUCACGGUAAGUCGUAUUAAGAGCAACGCUAGAAUACCCAUAGUGAUCAAUAAGCGGAAGCGGGCGAGCAUAGGAGCCAUAAGUAGGUUGAGCUGGAGGAGGUGCAUUGUCAACAGAAGGAGACAUAGUAGUCGAGGGAGAUAGCUCAUCGAAAGAUGACGCAUCAGAAGGAUUCACAAGAUGUGGACGACUAGUUUAGUAAAGAAGAGGUCAUAGAACACACAAAUAGGUGUAGAGAACUGAGUGUGAACCAUGGCAGCAAAAGGCUUAUAAGACCUCACUACAAGAAGAAAUAAAGUAUAUCCAGGUGUCUAGAGAGAAGUUACUACCGGAGACAAAGGGAGAUAGACCCCUGAGAUCAUAUUGAACAAGGUCGGAAGGACAACGAGACACUGUCUCGCUAUGAGUAUAAGGUAAUUGGACCGUGGAUUAGAGACAUCAUCAGAGAGGGAUCGAAGAAGACCACGUCGAACUAAGGAUGAGAGAUAACAAGUGAUCCAAGGGGAUGAUGCCAAUCCUGAAAAUAACUGGUAGACAAGGCAAUAGAGGCAAAGACUGGCGAUGGUGGAAACAGAGGGACUUGAUCCAGCAUCCCACAUGCCUAUGCACUCUUCUUACCCCAUCGAUCCGGCUUGGCGUUCUUUUCUUGUUUACGGGUUGUGGGUCACGCACUUGAUUAAGCACCCCAGGUUCUCCUACUGCGCCCUUGGCCUCGACUUUAGGUAGCGCCUGUCCUCGGCUCGCCCCGUGCAUAAACCAGGUACGCGUCGACUGUCCGAGCUCCUGCUCACCAUUGGUGUGGUGCUCGAGCGUGCGGUUAUGGUGUCGCACAUAAAGGGAACACGGGAUGUGGGAUUGAGACAGUACUCAUAGCAGCCUGCAGCAAGGCAAAGAAUGCCCAUCCAGACUGGCAGGGAGCAAAGGUGGGCACAAAGGUGGAUGUUGACUCGGAGUCUCAACAGUGCGCUCAUCAGUAAGAGCAACACGAGCAAGAAGAUUUUGGAUAUACUUCUCUUAGGAAAUAAGGAACAAUCUCAAGUAGCGAAGAUGACCAAGAUUCAGUAGUGACCUUAUCACUAAGAGCAGCACGAGCAAGAAUAUCCUAAAUGUACUUCUCUUGGGAAAUAAAGAAGCCAUCAGAGGUAGAAGAAACCUCAGUUUGAAGUAGUGAAAGGGACCAAGAUCAGACAUUAAAUCUAUUCACUAAGAUGUGCCUUCAAAAAGUGCGCCCUACUCAGCAAGGCAUCCACACAAUAAAUGAUUGAUAAACUCGCAAGCAAAAUCUGCAUGGAAGACGCAUAUAGGAAUGGAAAAUUGGGUACGAAGCAUGGCGGCAAACUUCUUACUGAUAGAUAAGACCUCACUAGAAUAAAAGCAUAAAAUAUAUCCAUGUGUAUCGAGAGAAAUCAUCUAUAAAGAUAAUAUAACAACGAUUUCCUCAUUUUGAGGCAAAGGGACCUGGACCCCCAAACAUCGAAGUGAACAAGAUCAAAAGGACGAUGAGACACAAUCUCGCUAUGAGGAUAAUGUAACUUAACAUGUUUGCUAAGCCGAAAAACUGACAGCCUAAAGACACACCGCCAGAGACAGAUCCAAGAAGACCACGUCGGACUAAGGAUGAGAGACUAGAGUCACACAAGUGACCAAGACGAUGAUUCCAAAAGAGUCGGUAAACAAAGUAACCGAGGCAGAGAGACUGGCGGCGGUGGCAGCAAAGGGAAGGUUAAGCUAGAUAAGCACCCAGAGGACCUGGAAUUACAACGUCGAGGGCCAACACCAAGUAGAGCAUCCGUGUGAGGAUUCUAAUCAAAACAUGAACAUGAGAAUCUGGAGGUCGAAUGGCUGACAAACUGGAAGAAUCGUAAGUUCAAUAUGAAAAUACAUGGAGAUGUACCUGGUUGUGUAAAAAGUGGUCACUCGGUAAAAGAAAAAUUAGUAGCACAACCUGUUGAUGUUGAACCAAAAGAAGCCGCUAGUAGAUACUAAAGUCGCCUAACUCUCGGUGUAGUCAGGGUCUCAACUGAAGAGGUUGACAAAGAAGUACUGGGCAAUGAAACUAGAAGUAGGAAGUAGGUGUUUUGUCAAAAUAUCGAAAACCCAAAUGUAUUUCUCGUUCUUCUUGUUUGGCUUCAUUUGGUUUUUGAUCUCUUUCUUUUGUGUUCUUGAUGGUUAUUUUCCUUCUUAUUGUUUCUUUUGUUUAUUUGCUUGCUUUUACAAGAAACCACAAAACAUUUCUUUCUCCCUUUUUUCUUUUGAAGUUCUUUGAGAAAACAACAAAAAUAUUUCUUCAUUCUUUUUGCUUUUUCUUUGGAAGUUUAUCUGAUUGCCUCUUUGUUGAAACUUUGGAAAUCUUGUAUCUUUGCUUGUCUCUUUGCGUUAUUGUUUUCCUUCUUUGAGAAAACCAAAAAAAUCCAAAAAUACUUCAGUGGUGUUUCUCUCAGUUCUUUGCCUUUUAUAUUUCAAAAAAUCCAAAAAUAUUUCCCUUUCACUUUUCCUUGUUUUCCUUCGUUUGCUUUUGAUUGUUCUUAUUGGCUUUUCUUGCUGUUUCUUUUUGUUGCUCCUUUCGUCUUUGUGCUUAAGUUGCAAAACCCAAAAAUUCCAAAAAUAUUUCUUGUUUGCAUCUUAUUGAGUCUCGAGUGUUCAGAGUGUUCUUUUUUCUUCCUAUUUUUUUCUUUUGUAUGUUUUUUUGUUGUUUUCUAGAAACCCCAAAAGAUUUCAUUGUGCUUUUGUUCUUUUGAUGUUCGUUGAGAAAACAACAAAGAUAUUUCCUCGUUCGUUUUGCUUUUUCUUUGGAAGUGUAUUUUAUUGCCUCUUUGUUGAAAUUUUGAAAAUAUUUUAUCUUUGCUUGUCUUUACAUUCUUGUUCGCCUUCUUCGAGAAAAACAGAAAUUCCAAAAAUAUUUUUGUUGUGUUUCUUUAAGUUCUUUGCCUUUUAUCAACAUUUCUCUUUCGUUGUUCAUUUAUUUUCCUUGUUUUCUUUUGCUUGUUCUUUUUGGCUUUUCUUUGCUGUUUUCUUUUCAUCGUUUCUUUUAUCUUUGUGUUUAAGUUGCAAAACCCAAAAAUUCCAAAAAGAUUUGUCUUUUGCUCUUAUUGAGUGUCAACUAUUUGAGGUGUUCUUUUGUUUUUUUCUUCCUAUUUUUCUUUUGGAUGUUUGUUGUUUGCUUUUAAUAGUAACCCCAAAAGAUUUCUUUGUCCUUUUGUUCUUUCGAAGUUCUUUGAGAAAACAAAAAAAAUAUUUUUUCGUUCGUUUUGCUUUUUCUUUGAAAGUUUAUUUGAUUGCCUCUUUGUUGAAACUUUGAAAAAAUAUUUUAUCUUUGCUUCUCUUUAGCUCUUGUUUACCUUAUUUGAGAAAAUAACAAAAGUUCCAAAAAUGUUUCUGUUGUGUUUCUUUAAGUUAGUUUUGGGCUUUUAUGUUUCCAAAAUUCCAAAAAAUAUUUCUCUUUCGGUGUUCUUUUGUUUUCUUUUGGUUGUUCUUUUUGGCUUUUCUUUGCUGUUUUUUUGUCGUUUAUUUCAUCUCUGUGUUUAAGUUGCAAAACCCAAAAACUCCAAAAGAUUUCUCGUUUGUGUCUUAUUGAGUUUCAAUUGUUUGAAGUGUUCUUUUUGAUUUAUUUUUCUUCCUAUUUUUUCUUUUAUUUGUUGUUGUUUGCUUUUAAAAUAAACCCUAAAAUAUUUCUUUGUCCUUUUGUUCUUUUGAAGUUCUUUGAGAAAACAACAAAAAUAUUUCGUCGUUCGUUUUGCUUUUUCUUUGGAAGUUUAUUUCAUUGGCUAUUUGUUGAAACUUUGAAAAUAUUUUAUCUUUGCUUCGCUUCACGUCCUUGUUUGCCUUUGAGAAAAACAAAAAUUCCAAAAAAUAUUUCUGUUGUGAGCGGAAUUUGGUUUGACCCUAGGUCUCUUAGGGUGUUUAUGUGGGCUCGCAGCUCGUCGUUGCUGAGCUCUCGUGUCGUUGCUUGAGUCGGAUCUUAAGGCCUCAUGUAUCUUUAAGACUUGCUCCCCGGUCAACCACCUUGUUCGAUCAGGCUCUCCACUACGUCGAUCAGCCCCCGAGCGUUGCUGGAUGUCUUCUUCAUCGGCUUCCAAGAUCUCUCAGACUCUUGGGUGGCUCAUUGAUGAAGGGCAGCAGAUGUCCCAUGAGCCCCGAAGCAUAGAACCAACCCUUAUGCCAGUUGUAGACUGACUUCGCCAAAGCAAUCUUGAAGUAGUCUGAUUCAAGCCGGAGCUGGAGGUUGGUGCCUUCAAGGUCGCGGAUAUCAUCGCCAUUCUUCUGGACCUUCAACAGGAAGUAGUAUCAAAACAACUCGAAGUUUGGGUUCGUCCCAAGGAAGCAUUCACAAAGGGUGAUGAAGUUGGCGAUGUGGAGAAUGGCAUUGGGUGUCAAAUGAUGCAACUGACACCCGUAGGAGAACAAAAGCCUGCACACAAAGCUGUCUAGCGGGAAAGCCAAACCUCGACACAAGAACUGCUGGUGCAACACUCGCUUGUGCCGGCUGGUGCCAGGAUGGCCACGGCCCCCGCCGUCCUCCAUUGAAGUACCUCCCAAGGCAGCAGAAAGUCGUCUUGAACUAACGCAGCGGAGAACCACUUGCCUGUGGUCUUGCCUGCCUCCUCGCUGGCGGAAGCGUUGUCCUUCCGCUUGUUAGCGGUGGUGGCCCUGGGAACGAUCCGGCCACGACCUCGACCGCGGUCUCCCUCGCCUCGCACCAUUAGCGGCUCACUUGGGUGGAGAAGGAAAGAAAGGGAGGGCUCGAGGAGUAAUAGGUUGCGACAAUGGCGGUUCUGACAGGGGAGGGAGAAGCCGUAGAGGGUUCUGCGAGAGGAACAGAGGAAGUGGGGGAAACCCACCGGGAAACCCAAGCAACGGCUUCGGUAGGUCGACAUGUGCCCAAUUUCCUUCACGGUUUCCCACUACGCAGGAUGUGGGCGUGGAGAUCUAGGCAUUAUCAUCAUGAUGCAGUUGUCAAAGCGAAAUCGACUGGCCAUCUCCCUAUCUUUCGACAGUGAUGGCGGGAUGUGACAAAGCGAGUGGUAGUGAUUUGAAGAAGACUUGCCACCGGAGGCCGUGCAGCCAUGAAGCUGCGAAGACGCGACGCCGGAGGCCAUGCGGCCGUGAAGCCGCAACAUUGCAAAGACGUAGGCUGCGAAGCCGUGAAGGUGAAAGAUGCAAAGCCGCUAGAUUGCGGCACCACAAAAUCAGGAGCUACGAAGCCACAUAGAUGCGUCGCUGGGGGCUGCGCGAUAGCCAAGUACAUAGAUUUCGAGGUCAGGCUACCGAGAGCUAGACUGUCUCCAUCACUGAAAAAGAGCCUGCCUGGAUUUCGUUCUCAAGGCAGCAAGACUCCACAACUCCAGACAAGCUCGGCUGCUACUGACGGUACAAUAUACCUAGGGUGGCCCGUCCACCGGGAAGCUCGAGACUUGGCUGGCUUCAGGGCCCAAGAGGCCUAGCAGCAUCCUUACCCAGCGAUCAGUCCAGGGGUCUAGGCUUGGAGAUAAAAUUUAUCCUUGGCGUGCAAGCCAAGAAGCUCUCAUAGUGAGGUUAGUUAGGAUCCCUAUCAACCCUAGCUCUCAUCCCCUUUAUAAGGCGAGGCUAGGGGUAGUUCGAGGCAUCUGUUCCAUUGCUCAGACCUUGGUAGCAUUCAUCAUACUCCACUUGUAACCCCCUCGCACGAGGUACUCCCACAUCAAUCCAAAACAAAUCAGGAGUAGGGUAUUACCUCAAUCAUGAGGCCCUGAACCUGGGUAAAAGCCCCGUACGAACUCCCUUUACUUCCGACUACGGUUUGCACCCUAACUGGGUCACUGACGGUUUUCUGCACCAUCACUGGUACUCUGGUAGUGAGUUGGAAUAUGUUUAAAUCAAUUGGUUUGCGAUCUCUCUCUAGGUUCGGUCCAUUAUAUGUACCCUUGAACCCCGUGUUGGUCUUCUGCGCCUGUCGGUUGCAUGAUAUAUUUAGGAGGUUUGGUCUUGUGGGCAAACCUUUGCUCUUUAACUGAGUCAGGUUAGUGCCUUUUCGGUGGUUUGUUCAAUUCAUUUGUGUUGGCCUCCAUGCGUUGGUUGCAGGACUGAAUCUGGUAUAUGGAUAUAGUAAAAAAACUGGUAUGUGGAGAUCAUGUCGAAGGGGGUUUGAGGAAGGUCUGAUUUGAGUUCAUGAGUUCCAUCAUUCAUCAUUUAAUAGGAGGUGGAUUCAGUGUCCUGAUUGAUUCUUAUUGUAGCAGUUGAUCUUGCUUUUGGUAUGUGUGUAUGUUCUCCUUUAGUUGCAGUAGAAGCAGGAGGGUAGUAGUUCUGCAGAGAUGAAUCAAAGGCUGGAGAGGUUUGGUUUCUGUUCAUGGCUGAUUUGAUUCGUUACGGUCAACUGUUAUUUUCAUUUGGUCAGAUCUUCUCGAAUGUGGUGUUGAACUACUCAUCAACCUAGAACUUCGUGAUUGUUUGGAUGAUAUAAUCCCUUCUCGAUUCAGCUUCUUCAUUUUCACAUUACUCCCUCUGUAAACUAAUAUAAGAGCGUUUAGAAUACUAAAUUAGUGAUCUAAAUGCUCUUAUAUUGUUUACAGAGGGAGUACAAUUUAGUCCAUGAUUAUUCUCACUUGGAUUGUUGGUGGUUCUCCAGAAAUUGGGAUUAUAUUAUUUGCUGGAUGGCCAUCAUCUUUUUGGUUCGGUUUUGGUGUGGACCAGCUGGUUAUUGGGUGAACAAAUUUCACAAGGAGUAACAUUUUUCACUCAACCUUGAUAUAAGAAGUGUUUGUUUCAUACUACUGUCCUAUUUGGUUUAGAUAAUUCAGUUCUCUGUUUGUAAAGCGUCCCUAAAGCGUCGCUUAAGUGUCAGAGCGCCCCCGAGGCUUAAGGCGUCCAACUCGCCUUAGGCAGGUGUCUAAGGCGUCUGCCUUAGACAUCAGAGCAUCUGAAGCGCCCGCUUAGACUUUAAGCGGUCUGUGUUCAAAGCUAGUUAAAACUAUGGAACUUAAAUAUGCAAAUCAGUUGAUAAAUCUCUUUCAAACCUUACCUAAGAAAAUUGUGAUUUCUGUUUGGUUUAGCCUGUUGACAAAAUUCAGGUUCCUACAAUUUUAAAUUAAUCUAGUUUCUGCAUGUGAGCUGUAUUGUUUUCAGGUUUUGUACAUGACUUGUAUUAUUUGUCCUGUUAUUUUUUAUGUUGGAAAGUCUGAGAUUUAGAUUGUUGAUCUGCCUCCUACAGAUCUCUUUGUCAUGAAAUGUACUGGUGGUCUUUAAUCUGCUUUGCACAAUGCACAGAUGUUGGUGUCCAUAGUGCUUACUACAUGAACAUGAUAUUUGGAGUCUUACUUUAGUGGAGUGCUAAUCUGAUCAUGCUUGGAAAAGGGAUAUCAUGAUAGGUUUUGUUAGCCUGGGGCUUGUCUGAAACUGUUGUAGUCCUGUAAAUACAAAAGUAAAAAGUGUUGAAUGGGAACAGUAGUAGGUGUCAUUGUCAUCUGGAUUUAUCAGUCUGUAGUGUACACCUGGUAAAAGAUGGUCUGAACUCCGAAGCUAGUAGAAACUACUGGUUCCACAUUUCUUUUCUUGAUUCAGAUAAUUCAGUUCGUUCAUUUCAUAACAUUUUGCCGCUAGUACAAACUACUGAACGCACGCCAUCGCUGCCACGCCCGUGCCGCCUCGCCUGUUCCGACUUCGGCGGCAGGUCGGCAGCAACCAGCGGAGGUCUGACCACGACAGUAACAACGAUGCAAACUACACAAUCUCAGAAUGUAAGUCCUGUCUCUCGACUCCCCUCCCGAAAUUUUGCAUGUUACUUUCUUGAUCAUGGAUUCAUGGUGCUGAUAUCCAAAUACAGAGAAGCUCAACAGCAAAUAUGGUCAAUGGGUAAUAAGCCUUGUUUUUUGCCUUCCUGUUGGCUGCUGGAGCACAUGCGAUGAGCUUAUUUAGCACGUGAACUUUGAAUCACUAAGGCUGAUUGGAGUUGAAAUGAAUUUGAAUCAGGAAUAGGAUAUAGUGCAGGCUUAGCCUUAGACCAUAUAUGCACGCAGCUAGUGCAUUUCUACACGUAGUCCUAACUUUUAUUAACCUGUACAGUCCUAACUCCAAUAUAUACUUGGAUUCUAUAGAGCAAUGGUAACUCGUGUGCCUACUAAUUCUGCUCCCGUAACAACGCUUUGCUGUAAUUAUGCAUAUCAAGUGCUCCACAUACAUAGUAUUCUGGAUGGUAGUAUAUUUCCGGGACCUUUUUCCCCGAUUUAUAAUGAUCUAAAAUGGUGUGCAUAUUAGGUUUUUAAAUGGACGAAAUGGAAUUCUUUUUGGAUGGAUAUAGCAUGGCCUACCUGAGAAGGAAGUAUUCAUGUGCAACAGAAAAAGCAGCUUUGUUUGUGCCUUUUGGUUUUGUGGGCUCUUUUGCAGUUGCAGGGACAGAGGCACUAAGCAUCUUAGUCUAAAAAUGUAUCUUGUUUGUGCAAUUGCAGGGUAACUAUCUGAACGCAGUGCAUAUUUUAGGUCAAAUAUCACCCGUAUGAUAUAGAUAAUGGCUUCAUUGGAAAAACAUUGUAACCCUGUAUAUGAUCUAUUUACAUCCUGCAUGUUCUAAUAUUAACAGUUUUGAGUCGGUGCAGAUUAGUUCAUAAGACGCAGUAUGCAUUAGUGUUAUCUUGGAAGAAUGUGAAAUUGUUAUGCUUUGUACUGCAGGCCCUAGUUGAUGCUCCUUGGAAAAUAACCUUAAUGCUCAAUUGAAGUCCUUAAAGUUACUGGUUGCCAUCUGUAAUGUUAAAGAUAAUAAAUAAAAGUUGGGCGUGCUAUUAGAGCUUCAUCCACUUGGAAAGACAUCUGAAACACAGAGUCUGUCAAAUAGUAUAGCACCUGUUUAAGGCUAGUUGUGCGCAAGGCAUUUUACUUCGGUGAGAUUACAUGGGUUAGAAUCUGGCACAUACAGUUUGCCCUUCUGUUCUUGCAUCAACUAGCAGCUCUUGCAACACCACACAUUUUGAUCAUUGUUUCACGUCUACUUUUACUCCUUUUAAGUUUUGAAAAAAUCAUGGUUCAAUUAGUUUUAAGUCAGGAAUCUAUGAAAAACUUAGACAUUAAUUUAAAGGCUGAUUACGCAAGACGCUACUCCUUUAAAGACUGGGAGCCGUAUGCAUACUGGAGCACUGCUAACAUGUGUUUUGAUGAUGUUCAUCACUAAACAUUUGACUUUGCAGGCUUGUGUCAGCUUGACUAGUUUCAAACAAUGGCGGAAUGCUUGGCUUCGAUAUUUGGUACAGAGAAAGGCAGUGUCAACUGUCCAUUUUUUUACUUCAAGAUUGGAGCAUGUCAUCAUGGCGAUCGCCUCUCAAGCAUCCAUAACAGGCCAACCAUGAACAUGUAUCAGCGCUCUGAUAUGAUUACCUCUGGUCACAUGAUCCUUGGAAAUUAAGCAUCUCUUCGCCUUUAUAUAUACUUGUUUGCAUUAAUAUCUUUCCUCUGUACAUGUGACCUUGAAGGAAUAUUUGGGACGAAGUUUUCUAAGUUUUGCUGCACAGAGGAACAUAUGCCAUUUGUUUAGAAGUACAAGGAAUCAGGAGUAUGCUUGGAAGUGACCUCAAAGGAAUGCUUUGAAACGAAGUUUGCAAAGUUUGUUGCUCAGAGGAGAGGAGCACUGAUCUUAAGUUCUUAACAAAAUCAUUUGCUAUGGUGCAACACAAUUCUUAGGCAGGUGUGCCUCAAUUUUUCGUAGUGAGCUAAUUUGUUAUAGAAGUGCAUAUGUAAAUCUCGUAUGUCCAUUCUGAAUUUCUUGUUUGAUCUUUAAUGCGAUAUUGGUGCGCUAUGUCAUCUGGUAUACACAGAAAUCUUGGGUACUCUUUGGGUAUUUGAUAGAUAUUUGUACUUGUGACCCUUCUUGUACUUCUAAACUAGCAAAACAAAUUAGCUUUAAUUAACUAUUUUGUCGUA